UGUGGUGGCUUCGAAGCUGUGUAAGGACUCUGGCUUGUUGUAUUAGGCACAGCGGGGUGUCCGCAUUGCACAUUGCAGCAGUUAUUAGGUAUAUACUGUUCUGCCAAGGAGGCGCCGCCUAAACAAAACAGAGCAAGCUGCAAAAAUUAUGACCACUGUCCUGGUUGAGAAAUUUGAGCAGAUGGACGCUGCCAUGGCUGAUCGAGAAGAUAAACGUCUCAAGUGAUUUUUGCAUGCAGAGCAAGACAUGAACAACUCAUUUAUGGCCCAGCUGAACACUAUGCAGGAAACCUAUAAUAGGGAUGCGAGAGAACAUCAGAGGGAAAUGCAGGAAUUUCAAAUGUCAAUAUUUGACAGAAUGUUUCAAUGUAUUGAAGUGCUGCACACAGUGCCACCUCAGCACCCGCCUCCAAACUACCUUCAACCCUAUCCCCGGUAUAACCCUGGCCCCUUACUACGAACAUAACCCACAUCAACAAACCCAACCCCAAUAUACCCAUCCCCGACAUACCCAACCUCAACAAACCCAAGCUCACUAUACCCAUCCUCGAUAUACCCAACCACCUCCUGAAAGGGAGACAACUACAGAGUCUCCUGUUUACCGGAAUUUAUCUUAAAUGGUUAUAGUUUUUUAAAAAUUUGGCAUAAAUUAAUGUGAGUUUAUUUCAUACACUAUUACUGGUUUGUCUUUUAUUACUGAAAAGAUUUGAAUGUUCACUUUUAUAUACCAAAGUUUUAUACAAAUUAAAAGUAUAAGGUCUCUGACCUUUUGUUAAUCUUUAGAA